CAAAUUAUAGUUUAAUUUAAAAUUUUUCUUUUACAUAGAAAAGAUAUAUUCUUAGAAAUUAAUUUGA
rnacentral:tRNA from 1 species